UAUCAAAUAAUAAAUUAAUUAAUCCUUUAGCCAAGAUCAGAACACUCGUUAGUGUGCGACCCCAUAGGUUCAAUACUAAACCGGUAGUAAAUUGAUCAUAUCAAUAUACUAAUCAAGGGUGGCGUCUAGCAACACUCCUUAACGACCGGAUAGCAUGAAGUAUACAAUUUACUUUCAAGAACCAGUAGAAGAAUAAUGUAGCAAUUCCUUCUGUCCUUAUAGCUCUGGAUCACCCUAGGAUAUAGUUCAACUGUCAAA
rnacentral:lncRNA from 1 species